UUCGUGAUAAAUCCCCCAACCUGCUAAG
rnacentral:sRNA from 1 species